GGCACUAUAGCUGAGUGGUAAAGGUGAUCGGUCGUAAUCAAAAAUGUGUCCGUGGCGCGGUAGGUUCGAACCCUGUUUGUGUCU